CCUACGGGAGGCAGCAGUGAGGAAUAUUGGUCAAUGGACGAGAGUCUGAACCAGCCAAGUAGCGUGAAGGAUGACUGCCCUAUGGGUUGUAAACUUCUUUUAUAUGGGAAUAAAAUGUUCCACGUGUGGGAUUUUGUAUGUACCAUAUGAAUAAGGAUCGGCUAACUCCGUGCCAGCAGCCGCGGUAAUACGGAGGAUCCGAGCGUUAUCCGGAUUUAUUGGGUUUAAAGGGAGCGUAGGCGGAUUGUUAAGUCAGUUGUGAAAGUUUGCGGCUCAACCGUGAAAGUGCAGUUGAAACUGGCAGUCUUGAGUACAGUAGAGGUGAGCGGAAUUCGUGGUGUAGCGGUGAAAUGCUUAGAUAUCACGAAGAACUCCGAUUGCGAAGGCAGUUCACUGGACUGCAACUGACACUGAGGCUCGAAGGUGUGGGUAUCAAACAGGAUUAGAUACCCCUGUAGUC
rnacentral:rRNA from 1 species